AUGGAGGGGGAUAACUACUGGAAACGGUAGCUAAUACCGCAUAACGUCGCAAGACCAAAGUGGGGGACCUUCGGGCCUCACACCAUCGGAUGUGCCCAGAUGGGAUUAGCUGGUAGGCGGGGUAACGGCCCACCUAGGCGACGAUCCCUAGCUGGUCUGAGAGGAUGACCAGCCACACUGGAACUGAGACACGGUCCAGACUCCUACGGGAGGCAGCAGUGGGGAAUAUUGCACAAUGGGCGCAAGCCUGAUGCAGCCAUGCCGCGUGUAUGAAGAAGGCCUUCGGGUUGUAAAGUACUUUCAGCGGGGAGGAAGGUGGUUGAGGUUAAUAACCUCAGCAAUUGACGUUACCCGCAGAAGAAGCACCGGCUAACUCCGUGCCAGCAGCCGCGGUAAUACGGAGGGUGCAAGCGUUAAUCGGAAUUACUGGGCGUAAAGCGCACGCAGGCGGUCUGUUAAGUCAGAUGUGAAAUCCCCGGGCUUAACCUGGGAACUGCAUUUGAAACUGGCAGGCUUGAGUCUCGUAGAGGGGGGUAGAAUUCCAGGUGUAGCGGUGAAAUGCGUAGAGAUCUGGAGGAAUACCGGUGGCGAAAGCGGCCCC
rnacentral:rRNA from 1 species